GAUCACUUCAACGUUAAAAUACCAGUUCCCGUAUGAUUACCGAAGUUAAGUAACCUCGUGCCAGGUCAGAACCUAGGUGGGUAACCUCUUGGGCAAAGCGGGUGCUGUAAU